GUGCUUGCUUCAGCAGCACGUAUACUAAAAUUGUAAUGAUAUAGAGAUGAUUAGCAUGGCCCCUGCACAUGGAUUAAGUUUCCAUUUAAAAAGAAAGAAAGAGGCAA